rnacentral:rRNA from 1 species
AAGAACCUUACCAGGUCUUGACAUCCCGCUGACCGGUAUAGAGAUAUACCUUUCCCUUCGGGGACAGCGGUGACAGGUGGUGCAUGGUUGUCGUCAGCUCGUGUCGUGAGAUGUUGGGUUAAGUCCCGCAACGAGCGCAACCCUUGAUCUUAGUUGCCAGCAUUCAGUUGGGCACUCUAAGGUGACUGCCGGUGACAAACCGGAGGAAGGUGGGGAUGACGUCAAAUCAUCAUGCCCCUUAUGACCUGGGCUACACACGUGCUACAAUGGAUGGUACAAAGGGCUGCAAGACCGCGAGGUUUAGCCAAUCCCAUAAAACCAUUCUCAGUUCGGAUUGCAGGCUGCAACUCGCCUGCAUGAAGCUGGAAUCGCUAGUAAUCGCGGAUCAGCAUGCCGCGGUGAAUACGUUCCCGGGCCUUGUACACACCGCCCGUCACACCACGAGAGUUUGCAACACCCGAAGUCGGUGGGGUAACCCUUACGGGAGCCAGCCGCCGAAGGUGGGGCAGAUGAUUGGGGUGAAGUCGUAACAAGGUAGCCGUA